GUGGGGAAUUUUGGACAAUGGGCGCAAGCCUGAUCCAGCAAUGCCGCGUGUGUGAAGAAGGCCUUCGGGUUGUAAAGCACUUUUGUCCGGAAAGAAAUCCGUCUGGCUAAUACCCGGACGGGAUGACGGUACCGGAAGAAUAAGCACCGGCUAACUACGUGCCAGCAGCCGCGGUAAUACGUAGGGUGCGAGCGUUAAUCGGAAUUACUGGGCGUAAAGCGUGCGCAGGCGGCUUUGUAAGACAGAUGUGAAAUCCCCGGGCUCAACCUGGGAACUGCAUUUGUGACUGCAAGGCUAGAGUGCGUCAGAGGGAGGUGGAAUUCCGCGUGUAGCAGUGAAAUGCGUAGAGAUGCGGAGGAACACCGAUGGCGAAGGCAGC
rnacentral:rRNA from 1 species